rnacentral:rRNA from 1 species
UACGAAGGGGGCUAGCGUUGCUCGGAAUUACUGGGCGUAAAGGGCUCGUAGGCGGCCAAUUAAGUCAGACGUGAAAUCCCUCGGCUUAACCGGGGAACUGCGUCUGAUACUGGAUGGCUUGAAUCCGGGAGAGGGAUGCGGAAUUCCAGGUGUAGCGGUGAAAUGCGUAGAUAUCUGGAGGAACACCGGUGGCGAAGGCGGCAUCCCUGGACCGGCAUUGACGCUGAGGAGCGAAAGCCAGGGGAGCAAAGCGGG